GACGAACGCUGGCGGCGUGCCUAAUACAUGCAAGUAGAACGCUGAAGGAGGAGCUUGCUUCUCUGGAUGAGUUGCGAACGGGUGAGUAACGCGUAGGUAACCUGCCUGGUAGCGGGGGAUAACUAUUGGAAACGAUAGCUAAUACCGCAUAAUAGCAGUUAUUGCAUGAUAACUGUUUAAAAGGUGCAAUUGCAUCACUACCAGAUGGACCUGCGCUGUAUUAGCUAGUUGGUGGGGUAACGGCUCACCAAGGCGACGAUACAUAGCCGACCUGAGAGGGUGAUCGGCCACACUGGGACUGAGACACGGCCCAGACUCCUACGGGAGGCAGCAGUAGGGAAUCUUCGGCAAUGGACGGAAGUCUGACCGAGCAACGCCGCGUGAGUGAAGAAGGUUUUCGGAUCGUAAAGCUCUGUUGUAAGAGAAGAACGAGUGUGAGAGUGGAAAGUUCACACUGUGAC
rnacentral:rRNA from 1 species